AUUGAACGCUGGCGGCAGGCCUAACACAUGCAAGUCGAGCGAGCGGCGGACGGGUGAGUAAUGUCUGGGAAACUGCCUGAUGGAGGGGGAUAACUACUGGAAACGGUAGCUAAUACAGCAUACCAUCAGAUGUGCCCAGAUGGGAUUAGCUGGGAGGUGGGGUAACGGCUCACCUAGGCGACGAUCCCCAGCUGGUAUGAGAGGAUGACCAGGCACCCGGGAACUGAGACACGGUCCAGACCCCUCCGGGAGGCAGCAGUGGGGAAUAUGGCACAAUGGGCGCAAGCCUGAUGCAGCCAUGCCGAGUGUGUGAAGAAGGCCUUCGGGUUGUAAAGCACUUGCAGCGGGGAGGCGUUACCCGCAGAAGAAGCACCGGCUAACUCCGUGCCAGCAGCCGCGGUAAUAC
rnacentral:rRNA from 1 species